UACGGAGGGUCCAAGCGUUAUCCGGAAUCAUUGGGCUUAAAGGGUGCGUAGGCGGUUUUGUAAGUCAGUGGUGAAAGCCCAUCGCUCAACGGUGGAACGGCCAUUGAUACUGCAAGACUUGAAUUAUUGGGAAGCAACUAGAAUAUGUAGUGUAGCGGUGAAAUGCUUAGAGAUUACAUGGAAUACCAAUUGCGAAGGCAGGUUGCUGGCAAUACAUUGACGCUGAUGGACGAAAGCGUGGGGAGCAAACAGG
rnacentral:rRNA from 1 species